rnacentral:rRNA from 1 species
UACGUAGGGUGCAAGCGUUGUCCGGAAUUAUUGGGCGUAAAGAGCUCGUAGGCGGUCUGUCGCGUCGAAUGUGAAAACCCGGGGCUCAACCCCGGGCCUGCAUUCGAUACGGGCAGACUAGAGUUCGGUAGGGGAGUCUGGAAUUCCGGGUGUAGCGGUGGAAUGCGUAGAGAUCCGGAAGAACACCGGUGGCGAAGGCGGUCUGCUGGGCAGUUGCUGACGCUGAUGCGCGACAGCGUGGGGAGCAAACAGG